rnacentral:rRNA from 1 species
GGGUCAGUAGGUUGGUCGUGCCACCGGUACGUACUGGCCUCACUGAUUCCUCCUUCCUGAAGAACCGUAAUGCCAUUAAUUUGGUGUUGCGGGGAAACAGGACUGUUACUUUGAAAAAAUUAGAGUGUUUAAAGCAAGCUAACGCUUGAAUACAUUAGCAUAGAAUAAUGAAAUAGGACGAUCGAUCCUAUUUUGUUGGUUUCUAGGAUUGACGUA